CCAAACAGACCAACUAUGUGUUACCUCUGUUCCAGUCAAGACAACUUCUUUGACUUACUUUAGUCAAGACAAAGCAUGCCUGUAUUGUUCACAGAUGUCUCUUGUACGUUUGGAUGGGGGAGGGGGGUGGACUAACACCAACAGUGAAAUAACUAUAGCCCAGGUCUGGAUCAGUUUUUCUCUCUCUCUCUCGUUUUCAUAAUCACAGCAAUCAAAGGGGCUUUGUUCACCGCCAUCAAAAACAAUGAAGCAUGAUUAGCCUGGAGGCUGUGUCAAAAAUCUCUAACACACACACGCACGCACAGGGUGUGUUUGGUCCUCGCUUCGUGUCCCGCCAGCCUGGGGAGGAAGGGGGAGGGCCCAGGGAGGGGCUAAAGGCUUCAGGGCCACAGGUGAGGUCUGAGCUAAAUCUGCAUCCACUCCCUCACCCUCUCACUCUUCCUCAGGUGCCAUCUCAUCCUCCUCCCUCCAUCCAUUCCUCCCUACAUGCCCCCUCCAUGCCCAGCAUGCCAAUCAAGCCUUAUAAGCACACAGGAAGGGGGGAGGAUAUAGGGAGGGCAUGGUGUAGGAGGAGGGCUGGGCCCCAUGCAUGUGGACCUCCGGUCCCUUGUCAAGCCUCCCAGGAUGUGUCACCUCUUCUUUUAAUUAUCCCUGUGUUCUUCAUUAAUUCACAACACUUCGCCUUUAUGCCCUGCAGCAGAGAGAGAGAGAGAGAGAGAGAGAGAGAGAGAGAGAGAGAGAGAGAGAGAGAGAGAGAGAUAUAUGUACAACUCCAAUCAAUAAGAACAACAACAUCAGCCCUAACAACUGCAGUGGAAACGGAUGCCUAGUGACAAGGGUGUCCUUUGGGGCCAGUGUCGUCCUCUGAGCAUUUACAGGCAGCAGCAUAUUGCCAGCCAGCACUACUCCAGGCCCUUUGGGUCAGUAUUUAGGCCCAGCCAGAUCGCUCAUCCCUGAGAGCCAUGGGCAGACGUGUCCCCCUGGUCCAGCCAUAUGGCCAGAACACACCUCUGGGCCUCUCUGGUCCUAAGGACAGAUUGAUUUGAGCCACAUAUGUGCAUCUCCCAGACCAAGGUGACCAUAAUGAAAUUUAGAGACAUUAGAUAGUAUUUCACUAUAUAGGGAAUUGGGUGCUAUUCAGGACAUACACAGCUCAGCUCUACUGCAGGUAGAAUUCUUUGAUUGUUUUUAACAUCUGUGUUUUUGCAUGAACAUUGAUUGAUUAAUCUUAUGCUAUACAAAGAUAAAUAACAUACAUUUUUCUAAACUAAUCCAAUCAGUUAAUU
rnacentral:lncRNA from 8 species